rnacentral:ncRNA from 1 species
ACAGGUGUCUGUUUAUCAGACUUAAUAGAGAAUCCGGUUAAAGGCCGGAGCGGUCCCGCCACUGUAGGGUGGAGCGCGGUACAUUUAUGUCACUGGGAUUUUCCUGGGAAGGCGUACCAAGCUGUGAAACCAAGUCAGGAGAACUGCCUGUCUA